GGCCGCUUAGCUCAGUUGGUUAGAGGUUGGUGCUAAUAACGCCAAGGUCGUGGGUUCGAUCCCCAUACUGGCCA
rnacentral:tRNA from 1 species